UGAAAAUAGGAACGUCUUAUGUAGCACACGCCAAACUGCGCGCUGAACGUUUCUCUUCGGAUAUUAAAAGAACAAGGGUAAACAAAUACUCAAGCACAAGCGCGUUCUCUAGGUAAGCCGUGGUAUUGAGGAAUUCUGCUUCAAAAUCUGGCGGAAAAACAGCUCUACCCACACCAUUUUACUUUAGAGAAGAACCACUGACGGCAAGAAGGCAGAUCUUCAUAAUAUCUUCGCAUUCACAUUUGGCAUUCUCGAUAUAUCCCUAGCAGUCAUCCGUAAACGCAUUGAUUCGUUUGCAGUGGGCGGAGCUUAAUCGACCAGCAAGCGCGGAGCAGGCGCGUGAGCGUUGCACAUCACAGGAACAUCGCUCGUUCUCGUAUACGAAAGCGACGAUAACGGAGUAACUUAUACCGAUCGAUUUGUCUUGAGGCGAACACGUCGUUGGGUUUGUAUGGUUUGGAUGAUGGUUGUGGGUCACGUGAUUGCUGUGUAGGAUCCUGAGGAUUAUAGAGAUAGACGAGCGCUGCAGCCGAACAAAUAUUAUUAUGGAGAGAUGAUGAGGCUGUUCGGGUAUGGGACUUUUUGAGGUCAGAUGAAAAAAGAGUUAUGAGAGGACAUGGUUCUGAUGUCAAUUGUGUAGACUGGCAUCCUCAGAGAGGUUUGAUUGUGUUAGGUAGUAAGGACACACAACAACCAGUGGACUGUGGGAUCCAAAACGGGAUUUAGUCUCACCACAUUAAGCAAACAACGUGAUAGUAGCAAACCUUUUGAAGAAUUCCAACAACCAACGAGACGAAUUAGAGCGUAGCAAAGCUGCAAAUGAUUUGAUUGAGCAACGAUGAACUUGUGGCCGGUAAAGAGAGAGAAUUAAUUAGCUGAGUUUAGGUCAGCUGCUGAACAGCUGAUUGCUGAUGCUUUAGAAAGAUCAUCUCAAGCUACGGCACAAUUACAAGAAGCGAAACAAAGUUACAUGUUGCAAAUCACACGCCUAGAAUCGGAACUCAAUCACAAAAGCUGUUACAGUGCACUGUGUAUGCCUUUCUUUGGAUCGUGAAAGCACAAUCACUACAGCGCUGACAAUGGCAAUUAGCAAACUGCAUUGGAGCUUCAAGGAUUAGAAAACUAAUCUAUUGCGCUUGCUCUGUGUUCUUCACAAGGAGGCAUUCUUUGCAUGCGGCUCCGUAAGUGUUUAGCUAGAAAUGAGCUCAGUGAAGAUGACAGUCAUGGUUCUGAAGACAACUGCGCAGAAGUAAAACGAAAGCAGACAAUGGUAGAAACCACGAUGAAGAGUAUGAUGAUGAUGACCUCAGCGAUGCUGAACUUUGAUAAUGCUAAACAUAGAAGGGCCAAAACUUCAAGAAUUUGAUUUUGACAGAGCUUUUAAAUUUUGGUAUAAAAGGCCAAGAAGGAUGGUAUUGGACACUUGACGUCUGGUUUUUGGACUUAGUCCUACCAAAGUCGCAUUCCUUUGAGCAUAACAUAUGUCACAUUAGUAUACUUUUUACAUUUGUUGUGAUGAUUGAUAAAUGUUGCCUCU